rnacentral:rRNA from 1 species
AGAAGGCCUUUGGGUUGUAAAGCUCUUUUGUAGGGGAAGAUAAUGACUGUACCCUAAGAAUAAGGUCCGGCUAACUUCGUGCCAGCAGCCGCGGUAAUACGAAGGGACCUAGCGUAGUUCGGAAUUACUGGGCGUAAAGCGCGCGUAGGCCGUUGAGUUAGUUAAUUGUGAAAUCCCAAAGCUUAACUUUGGAACUGCAAUUAAAACUGCUCGACUAGAGUUUGAUAGAGGAAAGCGGAAUACAUAGUGUAGAGGUGAAAUUCGUAGAUAUUAUGUAGAACACCAGUUGCGAAGGCGGCUUUCUGGAUCAACACUGACGCUGAGGCGCGAAAGUAUGGGUAGCAAAGAGGAUUAGAUACCCUCGUAGUCCAUACCAUAAACGAUGAUUGCUAGAUGUUGGAAAUUUAUUUUCAGUAUCGCAGCUAACGCAUUAAGCAAUCCGCCUGGGGAGUACGACCGCAAGGUUAAAACUCAAAUGAAUUGACGG